rnacentral:rRNA from 1 species
GAUGAACGCUGGCGGCGUGCUUAACACAUGCAAGUCGAGCGAAGCGCUAAGACAGAUUUCUUCGGAUUGAAGUCUUUGUGACUGAGCGGCGGACGGGUGAGUAACGCGUGGGUAACCUGCCUCAUACAGGGGGAUAACAGUUAGAAAUGACUGCUAAUACCGCAUAAGCGCACAGGACCGCAUGGUCUGGUGUGAAAAACUCCGGUGGUAUGAGAUGGACCCGCGUCUGAUUAGCUAGUUGGAGGGGUAACGGCCCACCAAGGCGACGAUCAGUAGCCGGCCUGAGAGGGUGAACGGCCACAUUGGGACUGAGACACGGCCCAGACUCCUACGGGAGGCAGCAGUGGGGAAUAUUGCACAAUGGGGGAAACCCUGAUGCAGCGACGCCGCGUGAAGGAAGAAGUAUCUCGGUAUGUAAACUUCUAUCAGCAGGGAAGAAAAUGACGGUACCUGACUAAGAAGCCCCGGCUA